UUUUAGUCAGGUGCAUGUGGUGAGCAGGGAAGCAUUGAAGGUUUUUGUGUCUGUAGAAGAUGCAGAGACACAAAGUGAAGACAUCAGAGUGUGAUCAGGAGCAAACAUUGUUCUUCCAAAUGUGAAUCUAAGCUUGCGUGUGCUGCCAGCUGGGUGCAGCCUGGGCUAUGUUUCUGUCAUUGAUUUAUCUCAGCAGAAGUUUCUGUUUCUCCAGGUACAGAGAGGACUUUAUCAAAAUGUUCGUAUAAACUGAGAGUCUUUCCACGAUGGAUUCAUGUGGUGGGAGAUAAGAUAGAACUGAGCUACAGGCUGUGGGACACACCUGCAGAACACCAUGGCAGAACCGAGAAGCUUGUCUCCGCCUGACCCUGGGGGGAGGAGAUGCCAGCCGGCAGAGCCCUGCGGAGAGGAGCCUGCUGGAGCCUGCUGGAUGGGUGGGCAGCACGUGAUCACCCCCAUAUAGGGACAUUGGGAAAGUGUGCUGCUGACGUGGCAAUGUGUGAUAGGUCGCUUAGUGAAAAAUAAAAAAAAAACCAUAUAAGGAAAUACUGUGUCUUGAAGAAGUGUAUAAAAACCAGCUUGUUUCUCUCAAUAAAUGUUUCAGAUUCCCUGUCGGUCUCAGUCUGUGCCGUAGUUGUUAUAUCAGAUUCAACCCAAAACUUUCUAAGAUUAACCACACAGAAAAAGUUAAAAGUGGCUUAGCUACAUCCUCUCCUGUUUCAGUGGAGGCCUGCUGUGCCAUGGAGACAUAAAACCACAACUGCUAAAUUACUGUAGUGCUUUUAAUGCAUUCUGUAUUUAUUAUUAGGAACUGCUAUCAUAAGGAGACACACUAAAACUCUACUUUUGCAUGGAUAUCUCC